rnacentral:rRNA from 2 species
ACUCCUACGGGAGGCAGCAGUGGGGAAUAUUGGACAAUGGGCGCAAGCCUGAUCCAGCAAUGCCGCGUGAGUGAUGAAGGCCUUAGGGUUGUAAAGCUCUUUUACCCGGGAUGAUAAUGACAGUACCGGGAGAAUAAGCCCCGGCUAACUCCGUGCCAGCAGCCGCGGUAAU